rnacentral:sRNA from 1 species
GUGAUUAGAAAUUCUUUUUUCCAAUCCAGCAAAUCUUGCAUCUAUUGGUUUCAGAGCAUGGUAUUUCUUAUAUAUGUCUUACCAAGUACAUUCAGUUGAGUGGUUUUUUGGUUUAACUUCUGAUAACAAUUUCAGAUUUUUGAAUUAAGUAUAAGCUUUACGUAAUGAAUGGUUGCAUAAAUCUAACAUUAUUUUAGCACCUAGCCCAAAACCUAGGGCAGAAUAGAUGCUCAAUAAGUAUAAAUGGAAUUGGAAUUGAAUUUCAGAUUUAAGAGCCUAUACAGCCUGUAUUUUAAUUCAUGGAAAGUUCUAUGUGCUGUGUAAUGUCUGUAGAAAAGCUUCUGCAAACUAGUAAUGAAGUAAUAGAGUUAUCCUCAAUGUAUUUUAUUUUUUCUUUUCAGAUCUUUUUGGGUUAGUGGUCUUUCUUGGUAUUGAACCUUACUGUGUCAAACACUGGUGGGUUCGACUUCUCUAUCGGCCUUACUGCAAGAAGAAUCCUCAGCAUCUCUACAGCUUUAUUGCCAAGAUACUGUGGAGGUCUGCAAAGAAAGAUGUGAUUGACCAAAUCCAAAUACCACCACAAACCGAAGAAAUACACUGGCUCCACUUUUCUCCAGUGGAAAGGCAUUUCUAUCACCGUCAGCAUGAGGUGUGCUGCCAGGAUGCGGUGGUAAAACUCAGGAAGAUUUCUGACUGGGCUCUGAAGCUCAGCAGCCUAGACAGAAGGACUGUCACCUCUAUCCUGUAUCCAUUGCUGAGGCUCAGACAGGCCUGCUGUCACCCACAGGCUGUUCGUGGAGAGUUCUUGCCACUCCAAAAAA